CCCGCAGGUCCCUUGGCCUCCAGCUGCUGUGCGUGGGGGCUCUGGAGUCCUCUUUUCUCUAAGGAGCUUUGCAUCCCAAGCCAGCAAGCUAUGCAAUGUUUCCUGGGGUUGUAACCAGAGUCUGAGUGGAAGCGUUCUCCUGGCAGUUACAGCCCAGAGAAGGUAAAUCAGUUGAGUCCUGUGAAUCCUUCAUCUCCCAGCCAAGAUUUCUGCCACUCAUAUUUAGCCAAAGACUCCAGACAAUGGAACCAGAGACUGUCCCGAAACGCAGGCCUCCUCCCGCGCACGCAUGUCAAAGUUAGGGCUUCGGCCUCUGCCCUGCCUGCUCUUCGCCACCCGCCGGGCCUCAGCCCUGCUGCAGUCAAAACGGAAGACUUCUCCUCUCAAGAAUGGUGGCCGCUCAAGCAAUGGGGACUUUAAAGCUGCCAUGUACAAAGAAAGUGACCAACCAGACCCUUCAAAACAGAAGCCUUGGAGUAGAGUGAAGGGGUACUUACCCAGAUCACCCAGAGAUGCUUCUGAGAAGUGGUCCUGACCCCCUGGUAUUGCCUACAAGGCCCUUCAUGACCUGGUCCCUGCCUGUCCCUCACCCCAUCCUGCCAUCUCCUCUAUGCUCCAGCCACACCAAACAUCCACAAGGUCCCCAAACAAUCAGUCCCC
rnacentral:lncRNA from 1 species